UAGGGAAUCUUCCGCAAUGGGCGAAAGCCUGACGGAGCAACGCCGCGUGAGUGAUGAAGGUCUUCGGAUCGUAAAACUCUGUUAUUAGGGAAGAACAAAUGUGUAAGUAACUAUGCACGUCUUGACGGUACCUAAUCAGAAAGCCACGGCUAACUACGUGCCAGCAGCCGCGGUAAUACGUAGGUGGCAAGCGUUAUCCGGAAUUAUUGGGCGUAAAGCGCGCGUAGGCGGUUUUUUAAGUCAGAUGUGAAAGCCCACGGCUCAACCGUGGAGGUUCAUUGGAAACUGGAAAACUUGAGUGCAGAAGAGGAAAGUGGAAUUCCAUGUGUAGCGGUGAAAUGCGCAGAGAUAUGGAGGAACACCAGUGGCGAAGGCGACUUUCUGGUCUGUAACUGACGCUGAUGUGCGAAAGCGUGGGGAUCAAACAGG
rnacentral:rRNA from 1 species